GUGGGGAAUUUUGGACAAUGGGCGCAAGCCUGAUCCAGCGACGCCGCGUGGAGGACGAAGGCCUUCGGGUUGUAAACUCCUUUUGGAGGGGAAGAAUAAAUUGACGGUACCCUCAGAAAAAGCCACGGCUAACUACGUGCCAGCAGCCGCGGUAAUACGUAGGUGGCGAGCGUUACUCGGAAUUACUAGGCGUAAAGCGUAUGUAGGUGGUUAGAUAAGUCUAUGGUGAAAUUUCCUGGCUUAACUGGGAAGGGACAUAGAUACUAUCUGGCUUGAGUGUGGGAGGGGGAGACGGAAUUCCUGGUGUAGCGGUGAAAUGCGUAGAUAUCAGGAGGAACACCGAUGGCGAAAGCAGUCUCCUGGCCCAAUACUGACACUGAGGUACGAAAGCUAGGGUAGCAAACAGGAUUAGAUACCCGGGUAGUCC
rnacentral:rRNA from 1 species